UUUAUGGAGAGUUUGAUCCUGGCUCAGGACGAACGCUGGCGGCGUGCCUAAUACAUGCAAGUCGAGCGAACAGAGAAGGAGCUUGCUCCU
rnacentral:rRNA from 1 species